UACAGAGGUCUCAAGCGUUGUUCGGAAUCACUGGGCGUAAAGGGAGCGUAGGCGGCGAUGCAAGUCAGAAGUGAAAGCCCGGGGCUCAACUCCGGGACUGCUUUUGAAACUGUGUUGCUAGAUUGCAGGAGAGGUAAGUGGAAUUCCUAGUGUAGCGGUGAAAUGCGUAGAUAUUAGGAGGAACACCAGUGGCGAAGGCGGCUUACUGGACUGUAAAUGACGCUGAGGCUCGAAAGCGUGGGGAGCAAACAGG
rnacentral:rRNA from 1 species